GGCCUGGCCGCGCCCGUGGCCGCCGCCCCCUUGACGCACUUCGGCCAGGCCGCCGUGUUCCCCUUCUCCGCCGGCGCCGCGCUGCCCUGCCCGGACAAGUGCGCCGCCUUCUCCGGGACUCCCUCAGCGCUUUGCAAGCACUGUAACGAGAAGCCGUAAGGGUCCCGGGCCGCCCCCUUCCGCCGCGCGCCCCCCAUUUCCCCUGCCGCCCAGACUGUGUCACCCCGCCCCUACCGGAUCCCGCCCGGGGGAGAAGGCGGCCCGACCUCGCUCCAGCCCUUGCGCCACGAACAGUCGGGCUCGCGGGAAAAGCAAAGCCCAUCCGGGCGCUGGAUUGAACGGGAGAGCUGGCCUCUGGAAUCUAGCCGCGGAGCCCGCAGCGCCCACCCGGCACCCUCCCGCCUCCCCCAGCCAUCGACCUUGAGGACGGCAUGGGGGUGACCAACCGUGCUCUCCUCUGGGCACCGCCGCUCACCCUCAGAAAGAAAACCAGGGCGGCAGUGGGAGCGGGGACCGGCACACCCUGGCACGGAUGUGCCUCCCCAGAGCCGCCCAGGGACUCGCGAAGCCCAGGGACAGAGCGGAGCCCUGCUUGGCGAGUUGUGGCCCCCUUGUUGGGCCUCUGGCGACGGCUGCUCUGCCAAACCCCAAGGUAGCCGUCUGCUUGGCCGUGUUCCUGGGGUCGCGCCUCAGCGCCUCACUCGGUUUCUCCCGCCUCUGCCCGCUCCACGGCCCCAGCGCCGCAGCAGCGCAGCUCCUGGAUGCGCCCAGACCUGGCGCCGCAACUGUCGUUUGCAAAGGAGCUGGACCUUGGAGACAAGACCCUGGGCCGGUAGCUUUUCGGCUUUCCCAAGUCUGUUACGUUUAUUUUCCUGCCUGCCCGGAGGUGUCUGCCUCUGGGGAGGGGGUGGGCUUGGAGCAGAUGCUACCGCCCGGUGCCUCCAAGUCUGCAUAGUGUGUCCCCUCAACAGCCCCGGGAUCCCCAGCCACUGCUGCCCCCACCGGGCGUUCCUGCCGCGGCACCAGCGGGGCUGGUGGAGCUGGAUGCAGACCAGUGCGUGCCCUCUGCUUAAAGGCGGCUGCCCGGAGGAGAGGUCCUGGGGUGUCAGGGGACGGCUUGGUCUGGCCCCGGUGACCGCCCGAGCCUCCUCCCCACCAACCCCGCGUGUUUCCGGGACAGGAGACCAGGCCAAGCGUGUUCUGCCCUCAGCGUCUGCCUCAAUUCAGAACAGCCCUGUUUCAAGUGCUGAGUGGGGCUUGUGGCCAUCACGGUCACGGCAAAGGAACAGCACGGUGACAGCGGGUCCUCCGCGCUCCCACCGAGGGGUGGUCUGGAGCCAACAGAGCCUCUUCUUCUACUGACCCCGCCAAUGAGGGGCUCGGCUGCGCUGGCUGCACGUUGCUUGAGCAACUCACAGACCAAGACUCCUUCACGCUCAGGUUACGAGCCGCGAGGCCUGGGGGCUCCGUCGCGGGCUCCGUGGGCCAGAAGAGGCGAGCUGCCCCGCCGGGGUCCUGCUCCCGCUUUUGUCCAGUGGCCGGCGUGGCCGGCGUGGCCCCGGUGCUUCUGGCUUUUGGCGGCGCCCGCCAUUCUUUAUGUCCACAGAGCUUUCUCUUCCUCCUGAGGAGACCCACGCGUCUAAAACGGCACCCUGGUCCCCGGCGACAGGUAAGGGCAUCUAGCCUCCGAGGCAGAGCCCUGCCCGCGCCUGGCUCUGCCCCCAGGGCCCGGGAGGACGGCCACGCCAUGGCUGCCCAGCCCACGCGGGGUCAUGACAGACCCUCCCGGCCCAGGCACGUGGCUUCUGCCGCUGCUUUUUGGUGAUUUCGUCCCAAAGAUGGGGUUUCCUGUUCACUCACACAGAUGUCCCAGGGUCCUGAGGGAGCCUUCUCGACCUUACGAGCGAGUGCAGACGCUUGCUUUGCCAAAUUCGCCUGUCUGUUGCCUUGCAGGUUGGGGACGCUCUAAGAAGAGGCCCUGCCUCGUGGGGACAGACGCUGCUCUCCUAAAGCAAUGGGGAAACGCACCGGCCACCACUCCAGCUGGCACAGCAGGCCUUGCACCUCCCUCAGCCGUCUGAGAAAACUCCCACCGAAGCCUCGGAGCAGAGGCUCCUGGGCCCUGGUUAAUCCAGCAGAGUGAUUACAGCAAUUUUAUCAUGCGAAUUCGCUUGUGAUAUGUUUUAGUCUUUAAUCGCUUUUGGCGUCCCAUUGAAAGGGAUAGAAACAGAGGGAUUUACAACGUAUUAAAUCAUUUCUCUAACAAUUACCUCUCCAGGUUCAUAACUCUGGACGUAAUAUUCCAGCUCCCCAACCGAAGUCCGUUCCGGAAAAUUAGGAAGUGCAUACACAUGUGCAGAUU
rnacentral:lncRNA from 1 species